rnacentral:rRNA from 1 species
GAUGAACGCUGGCGGCGUGCCUAAUACAUGCAAGUCGAGCGAACAGACGAGGAGCUUGCUCCCCUGACGUUAGCGGCGGACGGGUGAGUAACACGUGGAUAACCUACCUAUAAGACUGGGAUAACUUCGGGAAACCGGAGCUAAUACCGGAUAAUAUAUUGAACCGCAUGGUUCAAUAGUGAAAGACGGUUUUGCUGUCACUUAUAGAUGGAUCCGCGCCGCAUUAGCUAGUUGGUAAGGUAACGGCUUACCAAGGCAACGAUGCGUAGCCGACCUGAGAGGGUGAUCGGCCACACUGGAACUGAGACACGGUCCAGACUCCUACGGGAGGCAGCAGUAGGGAAUAGUCCGCAAUGGGCGAAAGCCUGACGGAGCAACGCCGCGGGAGUGAUGAAGAUCUUCGGAUCGAAAAACUCUGUUAUUAGGGAAGAACAAAUGUGUAAGUAACUAUGCACGUCUUGACGGUACCUAAUCAGAAAGCCACGGCUAACUACGUG